rnacentral:rRNA from 1 species
AUUGAACGCUGGCGGCAUGCCUUACACAUGCAAGUCAAACGGUAACAGGUCUUCGGACGCUGACGAGUGGCGAACGGGUGAGUAAUACAUCGGAACGUGCCCAGUCGUGGGGGAUAACGCAGCGAAAGCUGCGCUAAUACCGCAUACGAUCUAUGGAUGAAAGCGGGGGACCGUAAGGCCUCGCGCGAUUGGAGCGGCCGAUGUCAGAUUAGGUAGUUGGUGGGGUAAAGGCCUACCAAGCCGACGAUCUGUAGCUGGUCUGAGAGGACGACCAGCCACACUGGGACGGAGACACGGCCAAGACUCCUACGGGAGGCAGCGGUGGGGAAUUUUGGACAAUGGGCGCAAGCCUGAUCCAGCAAUGCCGCGUGCAGGAUGAAGGCCUUCGGGUUGUAAACUGCUUUUGUACGGAGCGAAAAGGCUCUCUCUAAUACAGGGGGCUCAUGACGGUACCGUAAGAAUAAGCACCGGCUAACUACGUGCCAGCCGCCGCCGUAACAC